rnacentral:lncRNA from 1 species
AUACUGGGUCUGGGAUUCCACGCAGGCCGCGUGGCUGGAAAGGAUCUCCUGAUCUCUGAGGGUCUUCAGGCUCUGGAGCUCAGUGGGAACUCUUUGGACAGCAGCUCCGGAGUGUGCCACCCAUGGAGUGAUCAGCACCGCGGGCCAAGGAGGAAAGAACCGUGUUGGGGAGUGUGACCCAGACGGGCCAGCUGAUGCAGAGCCCGGUCUGCAAAAGGGGAUGUGAGCCCACGUGCUGGAGCACUGAAGAAGGAGCUCACGUGCUGGAUUCCACAAGUCCCUUGCCCCGAGGGGCGGCGCCUGCGUGAGGCAGCACCUUCAACCCUGCCCUCGCCGGGGGACUCGCGAGUUAGCAGCCGGCCUGUUGAGGUCAGAGGAGGCGGGGUGCGUCCAAGCCUAGCGACUGCGCGUGCUUAAAGCUCUGGAGCAGAGAACGAGCGAGCGGCCUGAGCAACCCCAGCCCGUGACACCACCCGAACCACGCGCCACUACAGCUUUCCCGGCAUGGGGCGGGGGGCAAAUGCGGGGUGCUCUCCAUCCAGAGAGAGCUACGUUGUCCGCGGCUACGUGGACAACAGAGCGACCAUGUUCCCUCUGCAGGCAUGCGUCGUCAUGGCACUUGGGGACCUACACACACACAUCAUGCACACAAGAAGGUGCUGUCACCUGCAUUUGAAGAGUAAAAUCUCAGCGCUGCAGCGAGGCUCCCUGUAGUGUACAGAGGAUGAACCCCCCCCCCCCCCAUAGCAAAGAUGUCAACCCGACAGACACGGAAAAACCUGUGGAAGACGCCUUGCCAAGAGAGCUCUCAACUAAGAAGCGUGAAACAGACGGUCUGGACCACGGGUGCCCUAACCGCUGUACCCAGCCCUGAGCCACAGUCACUCACCCGAUCACCUCAGGACCCAGCUCACGACGGACCCGGGAUUCAGAGCCAGGGCUUGGCCGGUGAUAGGGGAAGACCAUGGCCUGGCCACGUGCGUCCAAGCGGAAGCGCAGUGAGGUGCGCAGAAUAGCGCUGAGUCGCUG